UACGGAGGAUGCAAGCGUUAUCCGGAUUUAUUGGGUUUAAAGGGUGCGUAGGCGGAUAUGUAAGUCAGCGGUGAAACUCACAGGCUCAACCUGUGCCGUGCCGUUGAAACUGUGCAUCUGGAAUGCGGAUGCUGUGGGAGGAAUGUGUAGUGUAGCGGUGAAAUGCUUAGAUAUGACGCAGAACUCCGAUUGCGAAGGCAGCUUACUGGGAUGCAACUGACGCUGAGGCACGAAAGCGUGGGUA
rnacentral:rRNA from 1 species